rnacentral:rRNA from 1 species
GACGAACGCUGGCGGCGUGCUUAACACAUGCAAGUCGAACGGAAAGGCCCCUUUGGGGGUACUCGAGUGGCGAACGGGUGCGUAACACGUGAGUAACCUUCCCUUGACUUCGGGAUAACUUCAGGAAACUGGGGCUAAUACCGGAUAGGAAUCCUUGCUUCAUGGUGGGGGUUGGAAAGCUUCGGCGGUUUUGUAUGGACUCGCGGCUUAUCUGCUUGUUGGUGGGGUAGUGGCUUACCAAGGCUUUGACGGGUAGCCGGCCUGAGAGGGCGACCGGCCACAUUGGGACUGAGAUACGGCCCAGACUCCUACGGGAGGCAGCAGUGGGGAAUAUUGAACAAUGGGCGGAAGCCUGAUGCAGCAAAGCCGCGUGCGGGAGGACGGCCUUCGGGUUGUAAACCGCUUUCAGCAGGGGAGAAGCUUGUGGUGACGGUACCUGCAGAAGAAGCACCGGCUAACUACGUG